AAGGCUACUGCUGUUGGCGGUGCUGCUUUGGAAUAUGGAUGUGUUGCAAUUUCAAGAAAAGGAGAAAGAUUGGCAGCCAUCAGUGUUUUAGCUGAUUAUAUUCUUACCGUGUGGGAUAUUCCAAACUUGGA
rnacentral:ribozyme from 1 species